CUCCCUUUUUUUCCAGAGCAGAGCCUGUAAGCGGAGAGAGGAGGGUGGUGAAAACAUCGACAGAAAGACAGAGACAGACGGACAGCAGGAAACAAGACAGCUGGUUGGUGGUCAUGCAGACAGACAGACAGGCAAGCAGGCAGACAUGAAGAUGGACAGACAGACAGACAGACAACGAUGCUGUCAAUCAUGACUGCAGUGCCGAUCAUCUGGACGCGCAGAGGGAGAAACAUUCAGCUGAGGUCUCUGCAGAGUGGGUGGUUCCUUUACCUACUUCACCACCUGUAUAGAGGGAGGAGUUGGUCGGGUGAACGACAGCGUCGCUCUCCACGAUGGAAAUGUCGGCUUGGACAACUUGCAACUACAGAUGACAGUGACAAACAACAGGCAAACAACACGGUGGUAAAAAACACAUUAGCUGGGACCUGUCGGGUUUAGUGAGACAGAAAACUGACCUUCUGGCCCAGGAAGAGGCUCUUGGUGGAGAGAACGGUGAAGCUGUCGGCCGGAGAUCCCUCUGUGGUGCUGUCUGCCGACGCUGCCUUGCUCACCUCGCCCUGCUUCUGUUGGAGACGCACAAUGCAAAGGGAGGUGAGGAUCAGCUACACAUUACUGCUGAAACUGGAGUUUGGAGUCUGAAAAUCUCCAGCGAUCAGCCACAACAGUGAAGCACCUCCUCCCCCUCCUGUUACUAAAACAGCUCGGGCAUGUCGGGGCACAAAUACUGGACCGGACCUCUGGAGGUGUCCGGUGCUGCUGGCAGCAA